rnacentral:lncRNA from 1 species
AGAGGAGGGGAGACACCAGUCUUCUAAAGCAGAGCAAGCCCCUUCUGAGAACUACAGAGGAAGCAAAUGUUGCAGAGGAGAAGAAAUACAUUACAUUAAUUGUGAAAAGCAUUUUUGGCAUCCCUCAAAGUGGACGUGUUUACCUGCAAGCUGAUGCAGAGUAUACAGAGGUGGACUUCUGCACACUAGCAGCAGUGUGUUGUCCAACUGGUGUGGAUGAUUACGGAUGGAUUGCAGCAGCUGUUGGCUGGAGCCUCUGGUUUCUGACCCUCAUUCUGCUCUGCGUGGAGAAGGUCAUGAAACUCCGGCCUGAUGAGCCCAAAUAUUUGGUAGCCUGA